GGGCCACACCGUCCCCAGCCUCCGCCGCGGGCGGCCCGGGGAGCGGCGCGGCGAGAGGCGCCGCCUCUGAUCGUCUGGGGACGGCGGCCGCGGGCCCUCCGCCCCACCAGCUGCCCCUCGCUGCCGAUUACCUGGAAUGCUUUGAAAUAAACCUACUCUGAUUUUACAAGAGCAGGAAAAUAACAGCCUUUCAAAAAGUCCACCGGCCUCUCAAACUGACUGAGUCAGAGCAGCUGCGGUAACAUCCUACCUUACCUCACAGUCAGCAGCAGCACUGCUUUAUUAACCCAGAGCGUCGUAUGGCAGCGAUGUUCAGAAUACCAAGGGAGCGCAAGCAAAAAGACAAAUACCGUGCAUUCACUUACAUGGCGAUUCAAAGCAACCCUUAAAAAUGAGCACUAUGCUUGCAGAGCGAAGUCUUUGUGUAGUAAAAGCAAUACAUUAAAAAAAAGAGGUAGACGUGGAUCUUUCGAAGGAGAAAUUUAUGUAUGCCUCACCUUGUCGCCAUCAUCGUUGCAAAUGUGAUCUUGAUGGAUUGACUGGCACUGAAAGGAAGUAGCAAUGCUACCUGCAAAAGAAGAAGCUUCAAAAGAUGGUGACCCAAGUUUACAACAAAGAAAGGACUCAUGCUGGGAGUUCACCUGCACCUACAGCUUACCAUUGUCCUCCGUAUCUAUCUACGCACAGGCAACUGUACUCUGUGUGAAUGUGUAUACACACACAAAGAUUGAGCUCUUGACCACUGGCAGCCAUGGAGCAUCAACUACUUCUCUAGGAAGCCUAUUCCAAUGCCUGACCACCCUCACGGUAAAUAAAUGUUUCCUGAUGUCCUGCCUGCUCUGUGCCAUCUCCAUUCUGCCAUCGGCUCCCAGCAGCAGAGCCCAGCACUCCCCUCUCACUGCACUGCGGGGAGCAGUGAGGUCAGCCCUCACCCUCCUCUUCUCCAGGCAGCCCAAUGCCCCCAGCAUUCCUCAGAGGACAUCAUGCCUUCAGCCCUGUCACCAGCUUUGCUGCCCGUCUCUGCAUGUUUUCAAGGACCUAAAUACCUUUCUAUAUUGUUGAGCUCAGAACUGCACACAAUAUUCGAGACGCAUCCAUGCUAAACAGCAGGAAAAUCACCUCUUUUGACCAGCCAGUUGUGCUGUGUUUGAUGUACCCCAACCGUACAUGCGGUUUGCCCCUUGGCUGCCCGGAUACAGCAGAGGUUCAUGCUGAGCUGCUGUCACCAGCACUCCCACGUGCCGUCCUGCUGAGCUGCUCUCCAGCCACUCGUCCCCAUCUGUACCUCUGUUCAGCACUGUUCUGUCCUGUUCUGUCCUGGGGCAGAACUAAACACCUUCCUUUUCAGAACUUCAUGCCACUGCUGAUUGUUCAGUGCGCCAAGGUAUCUACAUCUCCCUGCAAGGCCUCUCGUCCAUCAGAGAAUCAACAGCACAACUCAGAUUAGUGCCAUCAGCAAACUUCCUAAGGAUGCAUUCAGGUUCUGCAUUCAUUUACCACUGCUGUUCAAGAAACACAUACCAGUAACACAUCUAAAAAGAAAAAGACAGCAUGCUAUAACAGCCUUCCACAUACUUUCCUGCAGAGGCUAUUGCAGCAACACAGAUCAGUUUACUCCUUUCGUGUGGUAUAGUAAAACUACAAAUAGCUACACCUGACACCUGCUGCACUAUUAAACCUUCUCAACAUUCAUAAUGCCUUUUGUUUUUGCUGGAGAUCAUGAUGUAGUGAAACCAAGAACAUAUAUUCUGAGAAGCCACAGUCAUCUCAAAGAUAUCAAGAAAGUUUAGGAAAUAAUACAGUAAAGAGAGAAAGAAGCAGUAAGCCAAACCCUAGAGAGGAAAAGAUCAAUCGUUUAUAGACAGAGAACGUUUUCUGACUGUAACACAACCAAACACAAGACACAUUAAGGCAAAUAUGAAAACUAAUUUAGUUAUCUUCACAGGGGAAAAAAACAGAGAUAAAUAAAAAUCAUUUAACAUCCAACUGAUAAUUUUG